CGCGUAGGAAUCUACCCAGUAGUGGGGACAACCUGGUGAAACCAAGGCUAAUACCGCAUACGCCCUAUGGGGGAAAGGACGGGGGAGUCUUCGGACCUCGCGCUAUUGGAUGAGCCUGCGUCGGAUUAGCUAGUUGGUGGGGUAAAGGCCUACCAAGGCGACGAUCCGUAGCUGGUCUGAGAGGACGAUCAGCCACACUGGGACUGAGACACGGCCCAGACUCCUACGGGAGGCAGCAGUGGGGAAUAUUGCGCAAUGGGGGAAACCCUGACGCAGCCAUGCCGCGUGUGUGAAGAAGGC
rnacentral:rRNA from 1 species